rnacentral:lncRNA from 1 species
UUUGAUUCAUUAAAUCAUGACUUUUUUCAAUAAUAAAAGCAUAAAAACUAGAGUAAUUUUAUUUAUUUGCUUACAACAAUACUAAAAAACUACUAAGAUCGACGGGGACAACGAUUCCUCUUAUGACCAUUUUCCCAACAUAAACUACAUUGUUGUGUCAUAUGAUCUGGAGCAAUAUCCAAUUCAUUUCUACGAUGCCUAGUACUGUUGACUCAUAAGUUCUCAAACAUGUUCAUUUUGUUUUUCUUCUAAUACUUUUAGCAAUUUCCUUAGAAGAUUAUCUUUCUUCUACAAAUUUCAUAGUAAUGUGUGAAGUCGUUGUAUCACCGUCGAAAGAGGGUCUCCUCACCCGUAAAAGAAUGGUGUUAGUUUCAUUUAUGAGCAUGUUUUCUGUCCACCAAAAAUAAUUCAUCCAUCAUUUUUCUGAAAUAACAAAACAAGAAAUCAAGUGAAUAUCCAAAUAUUUUGAAGUGGACAACUUAAUUUUUUUUACCUUUGAAUGUGCACAACUCCAAAACUUAAGAUCAGAAUUUCUUGGAGUCCUCGAUGUUUACAUUUUACAAUACUCUUUACAGUUACAAACAUCUAGUUCAACUAAAUAUACAAACUUUCCGGAUUGUUGAGACAUGACUAUCAAAUUUCAAAAAUCAAAAUAUUAAGUAUGAAAAAGUAAACGAUGAAUGAAAAAUGUGGAGUGAGUAACUCAUAUUUAUUGUUGAAGAAAGAUAUAUAUAUAUAGAUUCACGUGAGUGGAGUUAACAAAAAGAAUUAUAGUUCUCCCAUUUGUGAGCGAACUACUAUUAAGAUUUGUAUAAUAUUGAUUUGGAUGAAUUUGGAGUUAAAGGAGACUACGACGUAAAAGAUGAUAAUUAUAGUUCGCCAUAAAUGGGCUAACUGUCCGUUUUAGUGUGUUUUUAGAGAGGGUCUCUUUUGAUGCUUAAAGUUUAAAAAGUGUCUAUUUUAAUGUCGAACUCUAAAUUUGACUCUCUAUAUAUAGAUGUAUAUAUUAUUUGAACGAUUUGGUAAUUCUUUCAAAACGACUAUAUAUAAAAAUUGUGUUAGGCCUAGGAAACCAAAAGAAAGCAUAAGUUAAAAAUGAAAGGAAAAGAAGAAAAUGUGUGUGCACUUGUUAAAAAUAAAGUGAUCAAAUAAAAGAGAUAAUGAAUGUCCUAGGUCUAGACUCGCACAACUUAUAAUUUAAAAUGGGAUCAUGACAAUAUUGUUUACUUAUAUACAUAAUAUUUUUUUUGUAUUUUAUAAAGUGGAACUUCUUAUCUUAAAUUGUGGUAUCAAAAAGUCACUAUCAACUUUCACCAUAACUUAAUACUUUAUCAUCAUCAAUUAAUCAAAUGACCCAAGUUGAAUUAGCCAAAUAAUUAAAGAAAAAGUCGAGGCACUGUAUUUUCACUUGUCGUGUGGAUUGCAGCAAAUAAAUCCAAAUCCAUAUAAUUGAAUCUUUAAUUUAAAGAAUAUUUUACCUGCAUCCUAAAUCUAUGGUAUCGUGUAAUUAACAAAUAAUAUAACUUGUAAUUGUGUUUUCUCAUGAAUAAGAUUGAUACUAAGAUUAGAUUCUACGUCACACUUAUAAAUGAUAAACAACAAUACCGACAAAACAUAGUUACUACUCUAUUUAUCAGUUUGUCAGAGUUAUUAUUACAAGUGUCUAGAAUAAACCUUAAAAUGUUAAUUUAGAAUAAUUUAGGUUAAAUUAAAGUCUCACAUGAACUUAUUAGUGAUUUUUCUAUUUUAUAGUUGCCAAAUUUUAGUUUGAACACUUAAAACCUUGGGUUCAUCCAAAGUUUUGAAGGAUUAGAAAAUUGGAAUUUUCUUGGCCGCUAGACAAAUGGAAUAAAAGAAAAAUGCUGAAAAAGACCUAUUUUAUGGAAUAAAAUUAUUUCUUCAAUUUUUUCUGAUUUUUUUUAUUUAAAAUCUUUAAGAGCUAACUAAGAGAUUAUCGAUAAUAGAUUCAACCCCACAAGUUAGUGGCAAGAAAGAUUUCAAAUAUUCUUUAGUAAUAAAACUCUCAUGAACCGUAGUUAAAAAAAUAAGAAAAAUAUUAUAAUUACUUUUUUUAUUAGGUAGAAAGUCAAAAAAGACUGAUUAUUUGUUUUUUCAGUAACCAAUAGGGGUGUACAAAAUCUAACCGAAAAUCGAAUUAAACCGCAAAUUGAGUCAAAUUGGAAAAAAAACUCGACUAGUGAUUUGGUUUGACUUGGUUUGGGAUUGGAAAAAAAAACCCGACUAUAUUUGGGUUGGUUUGGUUUUAACUAAAAAAAGUCAACCGGGACCAAACCAACCCGACAUUAUAUAUGUAAUUUUAAAAUUUUAUUUUAUACAUAAAAAUAUUUACUUUAAUAUAAUUUUAAAAUAUUUCUUAUACUAUUUCAUAGUUUUUAUCUUUUAAUAUAUUAUUUCAAGUUUAACACUUAGAAUUCGGACUGGUCCAAUAAAGAUUAUAGUUCAUAGAUGUUGAUAAUUAUAAUGAAACUUAAAUCAAAAUCAAAUUAAUACUAAUGCUAAAAAGAAAAUCAAUUCAACACUAAAAAUGACAAUAAUAUUAAAUAUUUUUUCUUUAGUUUUACUAUUGGUUUAGACAAUUAAAAUGCAUAAUCUAAUUUUAAUUUUUCUUAACUAUUUAGUAAUGUAACUAAUACUUGUUAAACUUAUUUUAGCAUGAUUUAGUACUUUUAAAUUAUGAUCAUUUUCAUUAUGACUUUGCAAUAUUUAUUUUAUAUGAUGAUUUCAAUAUUAUUUUUUAUUGAAUAUUUUAGUGUCAUCAGUACUCAUAUCAUAUUUUGUGUUAUUUUCUUAAGAAACACCAUAGAUAAUUGUAUUCGGUUGGACUAAAGAAAUAUUUGAAGCACAAGCUAAUUAUAUGUUUGUAUGCAAACUUUAUCGUAAAAAUUCAAAAAUCUGAAAAAAUCCGAGGUUUAUUAGUUUGGUUUGAUUUAUAAAUUUAAUAAAAAUUCGACACAAUGAUUUGGUUUGGUACUUGAAAAACCCGAACCAACCCGAGGUUGAUAAACUCGAAAAAAUCCGAAUUUUAUUAGUUUGGUUUGGUUUAUAAAUUAAAUUUUUUUAUACAAAUGAUUUGGUUUGAUAUUUAAAAAACCCGAACUAACCCGGUCAUGUACACCCCUAGUAACCGAUAUGUAAGUUUUCCACAAGAAAAAAGUUUUCUUAAAGAAGCAAAAACGUAUAAUAGUUUGUUUUGCCUUUGAUUUAAGAAAAAUAGUGGAUGCUUUUAGGCAAGGUUGAACACAUUUUUCGAAAAUUCCUCCAAGAGAGUGGACUCCUCUAGAUGCUCCAAGAAAUCACCACAAUUAUAUUUAACUAGUUAACAUGUUCGCACGAUCAUAACAACGAUUUUUAAGACAAAAAAAUCUUAUAAAUUAGCAUAUACUAAAAAAGAAGAAAUAUGAUCAAUACUUAGAUCAAAAUUUAAAAUGUUUAUCAUAUAUAAUUGUUUCCAUUUUUAAGAUACAAUUUUCUUAUUAUUUUGUUGGGGGUGAAAAGAACAUGUUUUUUAUUUUGAAAAAAAAAUACUAACUUAAUUUUCUGCUUAAUUUUCUAUUUGCCGUUGAUCAUCAAAUAAAACAUAAAUAAUCAGUCCUCCUCAUUUUUUAAAAGAAUGGAUGCUUAUUUAAAUGAGAAACUACUGAACAUAGACCUUUUAUAAUAUCAUUCCUCAAUAUGAUUUUUUUAACAAAAAAUCAUACUUGUUAUGUACGUCUGUAUGUAAUCUUUUUUAAAAAGUCUUUUAUUUUUUUUAAAAAAAUUUGUGUAAGUUAAAAUAUGAAAAUUAACAAAAAAGCAUGUCAAUAGUAAUACAAAGGAAAGAACAACUAACUAUUUUCUAAUCAAAUGAAAGAAAAAUAUAUAAAAUCGUAAUGAUAAAAUUGAAAAGCAAUUAAUAUUAAUGUUUCAAUAAACAACUCGAAACAAAAUUAUAUCGUUAUUUUUAUUUGUUUUAAUUAUCAAAGAAUAAUUAUACAAAUAAUAUAUAUAUAUAUAUAUUUCUCAAUUUUAAGUGUAUUGUAAAACCUUUUUGAUUCAUUAAAUCAUGACUUUUUUCAAUAAUAAAAGCAUAAAAAACUAGAGAAUUUUUAUUUAUUUGCUUACAACAAUACUAAAAAACUACUAAGGUCAAUGGGGACAACAAUUCCUCUUAUGACCAUUUUUCCAACAUAAACUAUAUUGUUGUGUCAUACAAUCUGGAGCAAUAUCCAUUUCAUUUCUACACCUAGCACUGUUGACUCGUAAGUUCUCAAACAUGCUCAUUUUGUUUUUCUUCUAAUUCUUUUAGCAAUUUCCUUAGAAGAUUAUCUUUCUUCUACAAAUUACACAUUAAUGUGUGAAGUCGUUGUAUCACCGUCGAAAGAGGGUCUCCUCACCCGUAAAAGAAUGGUGUUAGUUUCAUUUAUGAGCAUGUUUUCUGUCCACCAAAAAUAAUCCAUCCAUCAUUUUUCUGAAAUAACAAAACAAGAAAUCAAGUGAAUAUCCAAAUAUUUUGUCACGCCCCGAGCCUACACCCUGGAUGUGGCCGCCACUCGAGAACCAUUGUUGGCCCCAAGUGAAACCUUGGCCUGACUUACUUACUCAAUGGAAGACUUUACUCAAGAUAAAUACUUUUAAAACAAGUAAACUGGACUGCUCAAAAUAUAACUUAGAAUGUAUUAUAAUAACAUUCACUACCCAAGUGGUAACUCAAGUCUCAACUUAACUGAAAAGGAAAAGAAAAGACUCAUGAACUAACAUCACUGACUCUGUCUAUAAAGCCUCUAAACAAUUGAGAUGGACGUCGGGACUAGAUCCAUGACAUCCUAAUGAACAAAAAUACUAAAAGCAAUAAAAGGAACCUCCGGAAAGCUAGGAGACUCACCAACUGACUCUGAGUGCUCAACCUAAUCAACGAGGCACUGGAUGCUGAUCUUGGUUACCUGCGUCUGCAUCAUAAUAAGAUGCAGGCCAACUGGCAUCAGUACCUUGAAUGCACGAGUAUGCGAGUUGGAAUGCUAAACAUAACAUAGGCUUGAAAAGAUUCUAAAAGAAACACUUACCUUGGCUCUUCUCAACUCAAGUCAACAUAACUGAACUCAUUUCAAUAUAAAACAGUUUAAAAACAAGUGCAUUAUAAGGAAAAGUUGUUUAAAACAUGAUGUCAACUCUGUGUAUUAGAAUACAAUAAUAACUAUGUAUGUAUGCAAAGAUACAAUAUGAACUCUGUUUGUAUAUAAAAAUACAAAAUACUGAUGUGGGAGUUUCUCUAACCGACAACCAUCACUUAAGAGCUAUAGUGAUGAUACAACGUUUUACCUCACGCUGCCAAGGACCGUCCUAUACAUUGUCGGGGGUAUAAAACCUAACUCACUAAAUGGAUCCACUAGUCUAUGCUAAAAGUCACUAAAGGAAUCAUCUAAAAAGUAUGACCAUUUUCUACCCAUGGUGGCUACAUAGUUUAUGGGGGGCUGUGAGUUGUCUGAACUCUCCCCCAUAUCAGUGCUCAAUACUACUCCCAAAAUAUUAUAUUAGCUCUUAUGUUUGAAAACAUACUCCUUUCUGUGAUUUGAGAUUAGUGCUCCAAAUUUUACCUUUAAGGCUAUCUUGGAAAUCAAAGUUUCCUCUCUUGCUUCAUUUAGAAAGCGAUUACUCUUUACUGAAAACUAGCCCGAAGGCUCCUUGGAAAUCGAGGUUUUCUUUCUUGUCUAAAUGCAAAAACAUUUUAAACCCUUUGGGAAUACAUAACCUCCAUAUACUUUGGAAGAAAUGAACUUCAACUUUACUCUUUACUGAACUCAAAACUUAAGUCUUAAAACAAAGUUAAAACGUUUGCAAAAGACUUUUGGAAAACUUUAUGAACUUCUCUUAACUUGACUCUUGACUUCUCUUGACUUGACUCUUAACUUUUCUUGAAUUGAAUUUAUGGAUUCAAUGAUCGUGAUUUGUGAUAGGAAAGAUCUCAUGAUGUUUAGGAAUGAUUUUAGAUAGUUAAACAUGAGAAAAGACCAAAAAUCAAUAUCUGAGGGUGGGUCCGCGACGCGGAGAAGCAUUUAAAUAUUGAUUUUGAAAAUAAAUUUUGAGCCAGAAUGGUCUGUGACUGCUCCGCAAUGUGAAAUGACUUUUCCCAAAUCUGGGGACUAGCUCCACGAUGCGGAGGCACUGCUAAAUUUCGUCGGAUUUCGACCGACGAAAUUUCUUCUUCGUUUUCCAGCUCUAAACCCUCUAAACUCCAUGGGUUCUUUCCCCAAACACUUAGAAUCGAUUAUAUGCUCAAAGUACAUCAGAUUGUACUCAAAAUCAAACCUAAAAUCACGGAUUCGGAUCAAACAACUCCUCAACGAUUUCAACGAAUCAAGAAUUUAAUAGAACUUUAACAAACCCACUCAAUUUCUAAGCUUUCAAGAACUUAAAUUCGCUGAAAUAAAUCAUGAUUGGCGCAUGGGUGAACUAACCCAACGCUAUGUGAUCUCACAUACCUUGUAGGGAUAACCCCCGACGAAAUCCACAAGCUAAUCUCGACGAAUUUUGAACGAAUCUUGAACGUUCUUCUCCUUUCUCCAAGCCCUAGCGUAAUUUGGUAAAAGCGUAAACUGAUCUAAUUCUGUUUAGACCCUAACUUAAUUACCAAAAACGAAAUAAAAUAAUUGGGCAAGGAAAAGACCAAACUACCCUUUAAAAAUCCAGAUUGAACUUUCCUUAUUCCAACAUCCCAACUUCCAAAGGACAUAUCUUACUCAUAUGAACUCGGAAUCGCGCAAACUCAACGACAUUGGAAAGAUAAUUCCAAGAGAUUUCCUACCAUAACUAGAAGUGCUCCUAACUCAUCCUGAGCUAGAAGUUAUGUCCAUUUGAAGUUGACUAAAAACUCACUUUUUUCCUAACUUAACAAAAUUUCCAGAUUUUCCUUCUUCCCAAAAAUGACUAUUUCAAAUUCUUAGCUUCUUCCUAGUUAUUUCAAAUUGCGAGAUUGAAGUGGACAACUUCAUUUUUUUUACCUUUGAAUGUGCACAACUCCAAAACUUAAGAUCAGAAUUUCUUGGAGUCCUCGAUGUUUACAUUUUACAAUACUCUUUACAGUUACAAACAUCUAGUUCAACUAAAUAUACAAACUUUCCGGAUUGUUGAGACAUGACUAUCAAAUUUCAAAAAUCAAAAUAUUAAGUAUGAAAAA